GGUAAACGUUCGGGUUCAAUGGGUAAUUCUCCAGUCUCCAGUCUACAGUGCGCGGCAUAACGGACGGUGGAGGCCCUGGCGCUUUCUUUUAAUACACACACUGACACACUGACACACACACACACACAUACACACAGCGUUUUUGCUCUUUCCCUCCUCUGCCUAAAAGCCCUCAGCGUCGCCUUCUUUCUUCAAAUGGAGAGAGUUUUGUAGGAGAAGGCUCUUGUUCUUUUCCAUUUGAGUUCGCUCUCUUGUCUCUAUGGAUCAUUAAUUUCUUGAUUGCUCUCCUUGUUUAAGUGGGUUUUGUUAAAUAUGAGCUGAGCCCUGAGUGUGUGGUUUCUUCAGCAUUGUAGAUAUAACAAUUGGAGGGCUUGUCCUGCUUGGAAUUACGUCAGGGGUCAUGGAUUCAGCAGAUCCCUGUCCAACUGAGGAUGCUCUUAAUACAUUGUUAGGGUACCUUGUUGAUCCAAAACUACCUUCAAAGUCUUCUGCAAGAGGUUCUCCAUCACAAUUUGAUCAGGAAUUUGUUGCAAAACAGAUCCACGCAGUUGUGUUACUUUACAACUAUUACUACAGGAAGCAGCAUACACAUCUAGAAUUUCUAGGAUUUGAGAACUUCUGCAAGUUGGCUGUAAUUUUAAGACCUACUUUAUUAGUUCAUAUGAAGUUAAUGCAAUUAUCUGAUGAUACCGAGCUGGAUGACAUGGAAAAACAGCUUUCACUAACUGAGAAAAAGAUUAUGGAUGCAUGUGAUAUAGCUACAAGAUUAGAUGCAUCCAGAACUGCCCCAAGUACAGAGGGAUGGCCAAUUUCCAAGGUUGUUGUUUUUCUAAUAGAUUUGAGAAAGGAGAAUUGCUUGCUGCAAUUUGGUUCCAUCACUGAAGGAGUUUGGUCGAUGAUUGAGCAAGACUUGGAACUUCCUAAUAACAAUUUAAAUGGUAGCAUGGAUUCAAAUCAAGUGAACAAAAAGACAAGAUUUAUUAGAAAACCAUUCAGAAAUGAGUCGGAUGCUAAUGAAGCAGUUCAUAAGCAACUUGCAUUUUCAGCUGUCAAGGAAGCAACAGGCAUUAAUGAGAGAGACCUUAUGAUUUUGGAGAAACAUGUUGUAUAUUCUAUGAGUAAAGAAAAGGCAGCUGCGUGCUUUUAUAUAAUGCAGUGCACUCUACCAAACAACAAUCAUAUUAUCCAAAUUCCCAUUGAAGAUGCUAUUAAUAGGUUUGGUUAUAGCACAGCCUUACCUUUCACUUUCUUAAUUUCUUUGCUUUUUCCUUAGCAAUGCUCUCAACAUCGGUUUCUGGUUAGAGUAUGGGUUGCAUUUUGACUUGUAGUUUGGAUGUUUUGAUUUUUUUCUUUGCUUGGGUGCAGUAUUGCAUGUGAUAAUGAGUAAAGCGCACCCUGUUAGAUUCAGAGCAAGCAUUUCAACUAUAUAAAUGUGUCUCAGUUUGUGUGCACACAUGUAUUAAAUUUAAUUUUCUGAGAGGCAUCUGCUAAACACCUUCAACUUAGAUAUGGACUAUGUGCUGGACGUUUUUAUCAUAAAAUUAUAUGCAAGUCUAUGCACACACGAUAACUGUAAUGUAUUUUUCUAUAAUUUGUUUAAUUAUAUAAAUAGAAAAUUGUGCACAAUAUCUGUAAAUUGCUCUUAUGCAGAUACAGAACUGAUAUGCAAGCCUAGCAUUUUCUAAUACUGAUUGGUGUGAUAGUGAGGUUGCUUUACUAUUGGGUAUUGGCUUGAAGAAAAAGGUUCUGCAAGGUUUCUGACUUCCGUUUUUCUUUUUCCACUCUAAAUCCAAAUUUCUUUGAAUUCCUUGACUUUUUUAUUCUUUGCAAAUCUUUAUUUUAAACAUUAGUGUGUUGGAUCUUAAUCCAUUCUUAGAAAGAUGAAUAAUAGACGCAGUUACGAAUUGACAUGGUACUUAUGUGCGAGCAGAACCUGUUUUUGUUCAGGUCAACUUUUGCUGCCGCAGGCAUCAUGAUUAUUAUUAUUUUUUUAAUCGUUAUCUCACAGAUCUAAAUAUUGAAUGCAAAGGUGUGGGGGAAAAUGAUGAUGGUAGUUGGAUGGUGACCUCAGAAAGAAUUAUAUUGGGUUACAUCUUUUUCACUCAUGUUAUUAACUUUAGAAGCUACUAUGGUUAAUUGAUUACCGCAUUGGUUUCAAAUAAUGCCUGAUUAUGUAAAUGGUGAAAUUUUCCAGAUGAUUCACCGUUUAUUAUCCUUUGUGGCCCUAAAUCGAAUAGAAAGGAGGGGGAGGAGAAUAUUUACUGAUUUCAUCUAAUUUGGGAAUGAGAUUUUGACAAUCGAAGUUCGAUCUUCAAUCACUAGUUGUGCUGCUUCCAACAAGAGACAGGAUAUUAUUUGACUUCUGUUGAAUUGUGUUUCUAAGGCUUAGUUGUGUUUUUGAAUUGGGUUUUCUGACUUGCAUUGCACUUGAACAGGCUGAAUAAUUUGAAAAAAAAAAUUUAAAUCUUCUGAGAAAACAAUUUGUCUCUACUGUAAGUAGCUUGCAGGGCCCUUUGUUUGUAAGGAGUUCUAGCCAAUGGAUGCACACCAAAGUUGUUGAGUACUUCCAUUUACUUCCUUAUGCUGAGAUUCUAUCUGACUGGCUUGCCAGGGAAAUGCUUCCCAAUAGUUCACAAGUGCAAAGAGUAGGAUCCAAAACCAUAAAUGUAAACAGUUCCAAAAAGUUUAAAAAACCUUGCGAGUCAGAAGUUCCUGAAAAGGAGGAACUAGGCAGCAAGACAGGCUCUGGAUCAACAAAGCAGAAUGAGGAUGAUGGGUCUCGUGUGAUUGAGUUGCUUGAUGAUGGACUAUGCAAUAUGGAGGUGGAUAACUCUUUUGUGAUUCACACCCAAACCAAGGAGAAAGGCUCAGAUGUUUCUAGUAAAGUUCCACAUGACAACUACCAGAAAAUGACAACUUCUAUAGAUGGAUGUUUACAUGGCUUGACUGAUGGGGCUACGGCUGACUCCUUGAAGAGGCAGAGACUUACUGAAUGUGGAGAUGGAACUGGAACUGUUGUGGGUGGAGACAGAAAAUGUAACAAUAUCUCUUCAGAUCAAGAUGGGAUGCCAAUAAAUGACAGUGGACUUGUCAAACAUCAGUCAAAUUCCAAUGAUCUUGACAAAAUGCAUACCAUCAUAGCUUCAAGAGAUCAGGAACUGUCACAAGCUGCUUUGAGAGUUAUUUUAAGUAAAAGAGCUAAAUUGUGUUUUCAGCUACGGGAUAUACAAGAUCAGAUUGCUCAGUGUGAUAAAAAUAUGCAGAUAAUUUUGAAUGGUGGUGAAGGUAAUUUGGCCGUGAAGAUAGAAUCCCUUAUAGAAGGUUGUAGUGAUGUGUCCUUGAGAAGUCUUAGCCAAGAUACAACUUAUCAACAUGGCAAGGACCAAUCCUUACCUCAAUUUAUCAAAAGUAUACCCAGUACGCAAAAUCCUUGUCAGGAAUUGGAUGAUUUAUGUUAUCAAAACAAUUGGAUAUUACCGACUUACAGUGUGACUGCAAUAGAUGGUGGAUUCCAAGCCAAAGUAAUUGUGAAAGGGAUAGACUUCGAGUAUUCAAGUGAUGGCGAUUUGCAUCUCCAUCCACGUGAAGCAAGAGAUUCAGCUGCUGCUCAGAUGUUGGUCAAAUUGCUUAAAGAGCCAAACAUGAAAGCUCUCAAAGUUCUUUGAAGCAAAUCUGGAUUCCCUAUAACUGGCUAGCAAUAGAAGAUUAGUAUGAGUUUUAGAGUUUCAAGGUCUUGGCAUUUUGAUGUUUCUCACAACCCAUUAAAAUAGAAACCUGGGGAAAGAGAGAAUAGAAAGAGAAAAAAAAAAAAAAAAAAAAAA
rnacentral:misc_RNA from 1 species